CAUUGUUACAAUAUGUUGACAACCAUGCUACAAGCUUGUUGCGAACACAUCUUGUUGACAAGUUGUGAGAUUUUUACGUGUGUAGACUAAAUAUUUAUAUCUCGUUUGCCAAGGAUUGUUUUAAAUGGCUUCAAACACAAGCAUUUUUUCUUUCUACAGUACGAACAUGUUUUGUUGGUCUUCGAGAUAAACAUUCCAGUUAAUGAGACGAGAACUCCGCCAGUGCCUCGUUACCUCGAAACAUAAGGUCGUGCGGCAAUGAAUUAAAGUUUAAACAUUACGGAAUAUAUAGUACACUAACAAGAUGUACUCCCUGCAGUUGUUGACAUGUCUGGAACAUCAACCUUGUAACACAGAGGUAACUUGUUCCAAACUGGUCGCAACAACUGCCAGGAACAAUCGGUGCGAACACAGGGGCACAGUAAAUCCGUUAAUCCACGAAUUGUCCAAGAAUUGCUAUCGUCAGUAUGUAAUAGAGAGAACAGACGUAUGAUGCGCUUUGCCUUGUUUUCUAGGUUUACAUCAGUCAAAAUACAAGAACCUUCCACUUCCGCUUGUUUUCUCUUUGUGACAACAGGCUCAGUCUGUAUUAAGACUGCAUGAUUGAUCCUUCUAUUCCUGACUAGCUAAUGGUGCUCGUUCUCCUCACGAACCAAUUAGAAUGGAGAUGUUUUAGCUAGUGAACAGAAACCUUUAACACCUAGGAGAUUAAAUUUUUGGAAACCCUAGCUAAUCAUAGAUUAAUAGAUUUAAAACAUUGUAAUUGUCACGUGUCUAUAGCUCUUGCUUAUUGAUGUACACAUGCGCGUGAAAACGCGCAUGUUGUUAGUUGUUACAGAUCUGUAAACAAGUUGUAACAAGGUUGCUGUCAAGCCGAUAUCGGGAUGUGUUUGCACUGGCUGAGUGGCUGUUCUCAGCUUUUGUGAUAAGUCUGGAACAUGUCAUCACAUUGUUACAAGGUCAGUUGAUGACGGUAACAGAUGGGCUUUCUAUAAG